AUGUAGAAAACCUUUUUCUUUGGCUUUUUUCACACAAAACUCAGUGUACCAAAUCAUGAAGUUGGCAGGUUUUGGCACCAUUCAUAGCUCCUUUCUUAGUAACCAUAACUAAACUUCUAUUAAGUAGACCCAUCAAGUAGUUGUAAGCCUGUUGCUCUAAGCUCUUUCCUUCAGUCUGUUGCACGAAUCCUUCAGAGAUCCAAAACCAUAACAACCUUCGGACAUUAAUAACCUGAUCUUCUUGAAAUGCAGCAAAGUAUAGAAGCUAUCUUGUGCAAUAGUAGCAAGAAUUCCAGCAACAAGGACAACUGUGAGGGGUAAGCGCCUACAAAUUUUUGCUAUUUGAUAUCCAACUUCACUUAGUUCUGGAGGACAACCUUCUUUGUCAAAUAUCUUUUUCUGUAGCAAUGCCCAACACUCUUCGUCAAUAAGUUGGCGGAGAUGGUAAGGCUUAGUAUUCCGUUUGAAUUGUGAAGACAAAUUCUGAAAUCUACCGAUGAAGAGAAUCUUGCUUCCAUUGGCAUCAUUUGGCAAUGAUUUUUCCAACAAUUUCCAUGCCUCAAUGUCCCACAAGUCAUCCAAAACAAGGAGAUACCUACUUCUCAGCAAAACCUGCCUUAGCUUCUCAGCCAAAUCAUUUUCAUCCUUCUUAAAAUAUUCAUCUGGACUCUUAGAAUGGAUACUACACAAAAACUGAGCAAACAAACUGUGCUUGCUAUAUGUUUGAGAAACACAACACCAGCCACAAAUGUAUUUGAACUUUUAGUAAAUAGCGUUGUUUUUCUUGAGAAACCAAAAAAUGUAUUUUGCAAUUAAUUCCCUAAUCUUUUGAGUAAUUUCAUUGUGGUCCUAAAAUAUUGGUAUCUUUCAUUUAGGUCCCUAAUUUAAUUGCAUUUUGGUCUCUAAACUUUAUCUUUUAUUUAAUUUUGACCUCUAUUUUUUCUAAAAAUUAUAAUUUGACUCUAAAAACUUUUCAAUUUUUGCAAUUAAGUCCCUAAUCUUUACCAUUUCUUAAUUAUAAUUGUUUAUCUUCUUUGAAUUGUUAGUCAAGUUUUAUUUAAAUGCAUUUAAUUAGCAAAUUUUAGAAAUUUUAAGUUUAUUCAUAUUUCUUUAAAAUAGUAAAGUAAAUUUGCUAUAUGUUUACAUUUUCUUUUAAAUUGUUAAUUAAAUUAGUGCCUUGACUAUUUUAUUGAUUUUGGAGUAUAAAGGCAAACUUUAUCUCAUUUAGCCACUAUUUCAAGGGAGGUAUCUUUUAUUAUUAUUUUAAAUUUUUUUAUGUACUCCUAUGUAUUUUUUUACGUGUGAUUGCAUGAUUUGAAUGUUUUUUCUUUUAUUUACUCAUUUAUUCAUUUUAAGUUUUUAUUUAUUUUAUUUUUGAUGAUCAUUUGGAAGGCAUUUAAAUGCCAAUUUGUAAUAGAUAGGUGUCCAAAAAAUGUAUGUAGUUAGGCCAUGUAAUAAAUAGAUUUUAUUUUGACAAAAAUGUAAUUAGUUAGACAAAGGUAAUAGAUAGAUUUAUUAUUUUCAAAAAUUCCCCGUCUAGAUUGUAGUUAGAGCCCCCAAUAUAAUAGUUAGUUUUCAUUUCCUU